GGGGAUGUUAGCACAAAUAGUUAUCAAUAAAAAUAAAAAUUAUGUUUGAUUUAAUUUGAUGAAAAUGAAAACAAUAAAUAACCUUUUUAACUAAAAACAAAAUAGUAAAUUAUUAAGUUAGAUGAUUUAAUUAUGAAUAUCAUAUUAAUAAAUAAAUUAUGCAUAUUUUUUUGAUCAUAUUAAUAAUAUAUACAUAAUUAAAAAAAAUUAUAUAUUAUUUAUUUUAUUAAAUAAUUUUUAUAUAUGUAUACAGAUAUUUUUAAUUAAUCGGUAUCUUCAGUUUAGUCGGUUUGAUCGGUUUAUAUACCGAAGCAUAUCCAUACAUUGCGGUUACUUAAAAAUAACAUCCAUUCAGUUUAUUUAGUACUACCAAAUCUAAACAAUUUUAUCUAUUUUGGUACGUUUUACCGAAUUGAACACUUAAAUUUUAAAACUGUGUAGAUAUAUUUUAAUAUUUUUAUUAUGUUAAUCAUGUCAGAUACACAAGUAGAUUAUCUAUCUGCUUAAAGAUAUGGUAACUCGGCAUGUACCUAGCUCUGGAAAGAUAAACUCUUAACUAUCUCAUCAAAGUCAACUAAGGAGACUAGAUAAAGGAGCGUGUAUAAAUGACUCUUCAAAUAUGAAACUUAUAGAAAAAGGAGUAAAUGACUUGAUAAACUAUUUUCAUCAGGUUCGAAUAGACAGUUUCUUAUGCAAGCUUUGGAGGAUAUACGGUACCACAACCACAAGUGACUUUAACUAUUAUCUCUCGUCUCUCGUAAUCUAUAGUAUGUAUUUAUUUUUAAAUAGAUGAACCUUGACCAUUUUUAAAAAAAAAUAGACGUAAUAUAAAUAUACCAUUGAUCAGCGCGAACAUUAAAUUUUAGUUUAAGGCUUGAUCCAGUUAAUUAAAUUCCUUUUCAGUUAAGAUUUACUUAGAUAGAAGAUGCUAACGGCCAAUGAGAGAGGCACUGGAGAGAUGCAAGGACCUGGGACUCAAACGGCUGCGAUGCGAAUCUGACUCUUCCCAACUGAUCAAAGCCCUCACCUCAAAGGAGAUCCCACCGGAGCUGUAUGGGAUUUUUUCGGAUGUCUGCAAUUUAUCUAUUUAUUUUGAUGAAAUUUCCUUCGUUUGGAUAUCAAGAGAAAAGAACAAUAUUGCUGAUAAGUUAGCUAAACAAUGUCUGGUUGAGGAAGAAGCCUUUAUGGCUAGCACCCUAACUCUUGCUAUGCAUUAAUAUAAGUUUGUGUUUCAAAAAAAAAAAAAAAAAAGCUAACGGCCUCUCUUCUUGGUCCACAUUACACAGACAGAUGGUCUCUUGUUCUGGACAAAUGUCACGAUAAACUUGUCUGAUUUCUUCUAAGAUAUAUAUAUAUCUAUCUAUUAUUAUAAAAUAGAGUUUAAUCUCUCCUGGUGCCUCCACAUAGGAUUCCACAUCAGAAAUUCGUGCUCUGUAGUGACGACACCUGUCCAUUCAACCGAAACACACCGUUUCAUUUAAGUAAUGAUAUAAUUGAUGUGGGCUUUAACGUGUUUUGCUUUUUCUUUUCUUAUUUUUGAUGGGUUUACUGGGCUAUUUUUGAUUAACAGAAUGUCAAGUGUCCAGCCCAAUAACAAAACAGUUCUAUUGACAAGGGCAUUAUCUAAGAUUAGGGUAUUAUCUUCUUCGUCGAUCUGUCGGCUAAACCAACAUUGGUGAUACAAACAUAUCCAGUUAGACGAAUCAUUGUGAAGAUUUUUUGUGGUGCUUCCAUAACGUCGCUUCGUCUUUAAUUCAUAUCCGCUGAAACGUUACGAGAGUCUUGAUUGAUCGUCUUUAAUAAACACCUUAACUCAAUCAACGCAAAUCAAGGGAUACUUAUCCAUGUUCUAGGCGUUGUUUAUCCACCUAUAAAAAGGUUUUUACUCCAACAGAAAAUGCUGCACGAGUAUGUCUACAAACACGAUAGCAACUGCGAUCAACAAGAGCUUUCAGAUAUUUUCAGGAGGCAGUGAAGAAAGGAGAAGCUAUGUUUGUUGGGCAAUACCUAUUCACUGGUACUGAAACAACUUCAGUUUGGCUUGAGUCAUGAUCACAGUCAUGGAGAUGGAGGAUGAAGAAAUUUCUUAGAUCACAAAUCGCCAUGCUGUACUUCUGGAGAUGGGAAAGAUCAUGAUUCGGGAGGGUGAUGAAGCUGCGGCUCAGGAGGAUGAGAGGGUUGGGAAGGAGCCUGAGGUAGAGAGGAAAAGAGAAGCAAAACCAGAGUUUGGAAAGCAGAAGGAGAAGAAGAAGGAGAAGCAUAAAGCUUUGAAGGAGAAAGAGGUGAUUAAUAGUGCUGCGUACAAGGAGAGAGAUACAGAAACAGGAAGAGUGGGAGGCUGGUGAGGCAGAGAGGAAGCGUGUAGAAGAAUAAGAAGAAGAAGCCCGAGAGAGCGCAGAGUGUCAGGCUGCAGAGAGAGAAGCGGCUCGACUGAGAAUGAGCCAAGAGGACGUGCUACACAUUCUACAAGAGCAGCAGAAGUUAUUUGAUGCUUUGUCGAUGCUAGAUGUAGUCUUUGAUAAGUUCUUUGAAUCAGCAUAAACAUAUAUGCAUUACAUUUCUAUAUAGAUGAAUUAGAAAACAUGUUUUAUUAAUGUGUCUCGAAGGUGAAAACAAAAUGAACAGGUUUUGAAACUGUUAAAUACGUACCAAAUGUUUUCACUACAAGUAGAUCGAGAAAUUCAUCCAUUUCUUUUUCUCAUCCGGCCAUGUCCAUGCAACCUGCUUCUUCUUCAUGAAACUUGAUUUACCAAGCUCUCAUUCAAGUUUUUACGUUACUAUAAUAACUUUGUUCUACCACAAAUUGCAUGCUUUGCUUUUAAAAUUUUAACUUACGAGUCUCUUCACAAAUACCUUAUUAAAUAGUACACCUAUUAUAAGGAUAUUCAAUACGGUAAAACCGAACCAAUUAAAAUGGGAUCAAACCGAAAUACAUAAAGUGGUUAUAUUUGGUAAUAUCAAAUAAAACGAAUGAAUGUUAUUUUUAAGCAACAACUGUAUAUGAAUAUGAUUUAGGAUAUAAACCGAUCAAACCGACUCUAACUGCAUAAACCAAUUUAUUAAAUAUAGUAGUAUAACAACAUGUAAAUUAUAUAAUAUAAUUAAUAAUAUUUUUUUUUGAUAUGAUCUUCAAUUCUUCAUAUUUAGAAUGUUGAUUUACGCAAUUUUAUAUUUUAUUUUAAGUUUGAAAUUUUUUUUUUCACUUUUAUCAAAUUAAGUAAAUUUUUUUUUUCUUGACAAAAAUUUGUGCUAAUAUUUAUCUAUUUAAUAAUAUUAUGAAAUUAUUAAUUUUAAUUCAUGAGCUUUAUUUUUGAUAUUAGUUUUAUAUGUUUACUAAUUAUUUUAAUAGUAGAAGAAAACAGAAAACAUGUUCUACUUAAAAGUUAGAAUAUAAGAAUAUCUUUAUGUUUUAGUAAAACUGAUAUCUAAUACAUAAAAUAUUACAAAAGAAAAUAUGCUUAUCGUUUUUCUUAUAUUAAACUGAUAGACCGAAUAUCGGCAAUAUGUAAACCUAAUCAAAACAAAGUAGAUAUGGUUUUAUUAUGGUUACUACUUUUUAUAAUCAAAAUACCUAAAACCCGAAAUCCAGAAUAAACAUCCCUACAAAUUAACCACAACUACAAACAUAUGUAAGAUUGUUAGUAAAAAUCUCACAAAUAUGGUAUCAGAAGUUAAAAACUCGAAGAUUUCUUAACUAUCAAGUAAAUACUCACACCACCCGAACCAAAACAAUUUACAGAUACAUACAACAACCUUAUUUUCCAGUACAAGAAGCCUCCAACACGAUUCACGAACCAAGUUAAUAACACCUUACAAAAAAGGUGGAACCCAACGGUUUUAACAUAUCUAGGGUAAUACAUCAAAUCACUAUAAGAACUUUACAUUCCAAUUUUCAUAAGGUCCAACCAGAUGUACUCGCUUCAAAACCCACCGAUUUUUUUUUAAAAUACAAUACACAUCUCUUGCAAAUGCAAACCCAAAAUACAAA